GUGUGUGUGUGUGUGUGUUUGCAUUAAUGUGUGUGAUACUUACAAUAAUCCAACAGGAGCCAGCCUCACCUCCAGGUGUUUGGUCAGCUUCACUGCUGGCACAUUGUUGAACUGGAGACAAGAACAGACACAAAAUAAGAGAUAAGACAACCUGCAUCCUCUGUGUCAUCUGUCCCCUUGGUGUCAGAGAGUUAAAACCACCACCACACACAUUUAUACCUAACCCAGCCUUGUAUAAUCUCUGUCCUGAUCUUAAUAUUGUCCUCCUGAACAUGAUGAACCAAAGAUGAAUAAUAUCUGUAACCUGUAGUUGCUCUGUGGUGUUUCCCAGAACUCUAAAGCACAGCACUAUCACUGACACCACUGAUUCUUUAAACAACCACAGAAGAAAUCAAUCAUGCACAGUUUUUACAAUUUAAUGAAAGAAGAAUUUCUUCGUGCCAAACGGGAGGUUUCUACCAAUGUAAACGUCUCUAUACUCAGUCAGGUUCACUACUCUGAGUAAUCAUGAAUUACGACCUCCUCCAUUAAUAAGUAUCUUUCUUGAUACAGGUAUUGAUAAAGUUCCUCUGAAUCGCUCUCUAACCUAUAGUUAGUACCUUACCUGUGUCUGGAUGUGAGGCCCUGCCUGGCUGAACACGGGGCCUGACUGCAGGACACUUAGCUGCUGGUGGUUUAUGGCAGCAGCCAGUUCACCAUUGGGUUUCAGGAGGAUGCUGCUCCAAGCUGAGAGGUGAUGCUAUUGGGGGGGGGG
rnacentral:misc_RNA from 1 species